rnacentral:rRNA from 1 species
UGUAUUUAUUAGAUUAAAAACCAAUGCCCUUCGGGGCUUCUUGGUGAUUCAUAAUAACUUCUCGAAUCGCAUGGCCUUGCGCCGGCGAUGGUUCAUUCAAAUUUCUGCCCUAUCAACUUUCGAUGGCAGGGUCUUGGCCUGCCAUGGUUACAACGGGUAACGGAGGGUUAGGGCUCGACCCCGGAGAAGGAGCCUGAGAAACGGCUACUACAUCCAAGGAAGGCAGCAGGCGCGCAAAUUACCCAAUCCCGACUCGGGGAGGUAGUGACAAUAAAUACUGAUACAGGGCUCUUUUGGGUCUUGUAAUUGGAAUGAGUACAAUUUAAACCUCUUAACGAGGAACAAUUGGAGGGCAAGUCUGGUGCCAGCAGCCGCGGUAAUUCCAGCUCCAAUAGCGUAUAUUAAAGUUGUUGCAGUUAAAAAGCUCGUAGUUGAAACUUGGGCCUGGCUGGCGGGUCCGCCUCACCGCGUGCACUCGUCCGGCCGGGCCUUCCUUCUGAAGAACCUCAUGCCCUUCACUGGGCGUGCUGGGGAACCAGG